CGUGUCAGCAGGGAUGCCAGCUGGAGCAUUCGUGCAUGGUCCCUGCUUACAACUGGAUAGGCAAGAGCCCAGGGCAAGAUGAAAAUGCAGGUCCCGGGCCGGAGGCAGGGAAGUCCAUCACCUCCACACUCAGGCCCACCACUCAAGUCGUGGUGGAGAGAUGAACCUCAAAAGAUGGUAACCUCUGCACCUGAUGGACUUGUUACCUGGAUCAGGGGCCGCCCCCCCCCCAUCACAGCUUGGCGCUGCCGACUUGGAGAGGAAUGAUGUGAGGAUCUUCGUAACCCCACGAUUGGGGCCCGGGAACGGGAGAAUAUAGCUUACAACAGAUUAGCAGACUCAACCUAUACCGAGACCGUGCUAAGAGUGAAUGCUGUUGACAUUAUCAGCGAUUCCUGGAGGAGAAUCUCCUUCCUUUUCUUCCUUUUCUUUCUUUCCGGAAUUUAUUUGCUCCCCUGUAUACUUGGCUCUCCUUUUUCCCACUGCUGUUUAUCUCCCGGAAAUAGCUUUGCGUAUCGAACCAUAUUAAAUCCACUUACUUAUUGUUAGUUUAUCUCUGUUUGGUAUAUCAAAUGUUUAUUUAUAAGCCACUCAUGUCUCUCAAAUUUACCUGAUUGUUGCCUGUCUCUUCUGCUUGCUGGCAUGUAUCCGACUGGGCUGUGCAUAUAUUUGCUAUCCUCAGAUAAUAGAAGUCUCUUUGGUAAAUAUAACUAUUUAGAAGUCCUAAAGAAAGGUUUAGAAUACUUAAGAGGCAAAGAAAACAUUCCUCUGUGCCCAGAAAGUACCCUCUAAUGCCCAGAAAAAUGCAUCCCAUGUUGGCGUUGGCUGUGUUCAGGAACGAAGACCAGAUCUGGCAGUGAGUCCUUACGAGUAAGUUAAUCCCCUCUCCUAAAUGUUUUCAAUAUCCUGAAGUCCCACUUACCACAAAUUGAUAAGUGUUAGUGCGCAUGUGAGGCUGUCUCCCCGGUAGGUCUGCAUUCCAUGACAGGUCCAGGAGAGGACGGAGUAACUGGUCCUCCUCAGUCAACACUGGCUCUCCAACACCUGACACAAUGCCUCGGAGACAGCAAGAGGCUCAUAACAUUCCUUGAGUGGAUGAUGAAUGCUUGGCCUCCUCUGAACCGGGAUGCUUACUUUCCUCAUCUCUUGUAAAUUUACAUCUAGGAUUAUUCCGAUGUACCUGUCUGUGGUCUGUGGCUACACAAAGCAUCCUGUGAAGAGACACUCUGAGACGAGCCCUGGGAAGCCCAGCUUUGAGCCAGACGCACCUGUGCGUGCACUUGGCCUCGAGCAUUAUUAGCUGGGCUGUGUCAUGGGACCUCUGAACUCCAGGCCUUCAUCUGUUAAGUGGAAAUAGACAACUCACGGGUGUGUCAUGAAGAUAAAACGAGGUGAUCAAGGCAACCUCUAGAGUACACAGUAGGCACUCCAUAAAUACCACCUGCCACUUCCACUGCCACCUGGUCAAGUUGGAUUGGUCAGCCACCAGCGUCAGCGUGUUGGGAGACUUUGGGUGCAAAAUGGACAUCUCGGGGAACGCCUCCUGGCGUGCUGACUCUGUAAAUUCUUUUCACUGUUCCGUGGGGCGUCAUCCCCAGAUGCCUGUGCCCCGGGACAGGCCGUCUCUGGGCUGGACAAAAAACUGUUCUCACCCCAAGUCCCCCGGCGUGGAGGUAGUAGGGAGGAGAUGUGAUUAUUCGGGCCUUCUGCUUCAAUUAUUUUGUGCCUGGGGUAUGUGUUUAUUUGCCUGCAGCGAAUUCAGGAGCACGAUCAGCGCUCACGUUCACUCAGUAAGAGUUACCGAGGUUUUCCAAUUGGGCCCAGCAAUUUCUGAGUCUGGAUCUGAGAGGCAGGAAGAGGCCUGGGUUGGGUUCCAGACAUGUAGCUGUCUUCCUUGCCUGCGAGAAGCAUUCGUGCUCAGUGGUUUGGCCCACAAGGAUGAAGCAUCCUUGCGGGCACCAAUUCUUAUGCAUUUCUUCCCCCCUCCCCCCACCCAUGUUAGCCUUCGUUAUUCAUUCACUGGCUUACACCGACUUACUCGUGCGACAAGUACAUUCGGGAGCUCUGCUCUUUGUCAACCAUUGGGCUACAGGUGGGGAUACAAGGUCUUUGCACUUAAUGGAUCUUACCUUCUAGAAGAGGGGGAGGCCAUAAAUAUAUGCCUUAAUUUUAGUUGGUGCCAUGGCAGAAAAAAGUAAUG